rfam:Balearica pavonina gibbericeps contig2728, whole genome shotgun sequence.
AAAGAGGCUCUUUUAAGAGCCACAGACGAUGGCCAGUCUAGACUGA